GAUGAAGAACGUAGCGAAGUGCGAUAAGUAAUGUGAAUUGCAGAAUUCCGUGAAUCAUCGAAUCUUUGAACGCAAAUUGCACUUUCUGGUAUUCCGGAGAGUAUGCCUGUUUGAGGGUCAGUGUAAUAAAAAUAAAUCGUGGUUGUUACCACUUUUCGUGGUGACGCUUCGGAAUUGAGUCGUCUUACCUUCGGUUAAGUGACUUAAAAUUUUUUCAUACGAUUUCGAAACGUAUUUAAUGUAUUAUGUAUGUUCACGAAUAUCGAAUGUUUAUUAGGUGCGGUCAUUUUCAUGAAUUCGCGUCUAUAAUUUUUUUUUUUUUGACCUCAAAUUAGGUAAGAAUACCCGCUGAACUUAAGCAUAUCAAUAAGCGGAGGA
rnacentral:misc_RNA from 1 species